rnacentral:rRNA from 1 species
ACCCUUAGAUGUUCUGGGCCGCACGCGCGCUACACUGACAGAGCCAGCGAGUUUUUUUCCUUGGCCGGAAGGUCUGGGUAAUCUUGUGAAACUCUGUCGUGCUGGGGAUAGAGCAUUGCAAUUAUUGCUCUUCAACGAGGAAUACCUAGUAAGCGUGAGUCAUCAGCUCGCGUUGAUUACGUCCCUGCCCUUUGUACACACCGCCCGUCGCUACUACCGAUUGAAUGGCUUAGUGAGGUCUUGGGAUUGGCUUCGAGGAACCGGCAACGGUACCUUGUUGCCGAGAACUUGAUCAAACUUGGUCAUUUAGAGGAAGUAAAAGUCGUAACA